rnacentral:rRNA from 1 species
AUUGAACGCUGGCGGCAGGCCUAACACAUGCAAGUCGAACGGUAACAGGAAGAAGCUUGCUUCUUUGCUGACGAGUGGCGGACGGGUGAGUAAUGUCUGUGAAACUGCCUGAUGGAGGGGGAUAACUACUGGAAACGGUAGCUAAUACCGCAUAACGUCUCAAGACCAAAGAGGGGGACCUUCGGGCCUCUUGCCAUCGGAUGUGCCCAGAUGGGAUUAGCUAGUAGGUGGGGUAACGGCUCACCUAGGCGACGAUCCCUAGCUGGUCUGAGAGGAUGACCAGCCACACUGGAACUGAGACACGGUCCAGACUCCUACGGGAGGCAGCAGUAGGGAAUAUUGCGCAAUGGGCGAAAGCUUGACGGAGCAACGCCGCGUGUGUGAUGAAGGUCUUCGGAUCGUAAAGCUCUGUUAUUAGGGAAGAACAAAUGUGUGAUUAACUAUGCACUUCUUGACGGUACCUGAACAGGAAGCCACGGCUAACUACGUG